GACGAACGCUGGCGGCGUGCCUAACACAUGCAAGUCGAACGGUAAGGCCCUUCGGGGUACACGAGUGGCGAACGGGUGAGUAACACGUGGGUGAUCUGCCCUGCACUUCGGGAUAAGCCUGGGAAACUGGGUCUAAUACCGGAUAGGACCACUGCCUGCAUGGGUGUGGGUGGAGAGCUUUUGCGGUGUGGGAUGGGCCCGCGGCCUAUCAGCUUGUUGGUGGGGUGAUGGCCUACCAAGGCGACGACGGGUAGCCGGCCUGAGAGGGUGACCGGCCACACUGGGACUGAGAUACGGCCCAGACUCCUACGGGAGGCAGCAGUGGGGAAUAUUGCACAAUGGGCGCAAGCCUGAUGCAGCGACGCCGCGUGAGGGAUGACGGCCUUCGGGUUGUAAACCUCUUUCAGCACCGACGAAGCGCAAGUGACGGUAGGUGCAGAAGAAGGACCGGCCAACUACGUGCCAGCCGCCGCGGUAA
rnacentral:rRNA from 1 species